rnacentral:rRNA from 1 species
AUUGAACGCUGGCGGCAUGCCUUACACAUGCAAGUCGAACGGCAGCGGGGGAGAAGCUUGCUUUUCCUGCCGGCGAGUGGCGAACGGGUGAGUAAUACAUCAGAACGUGCCCUGUAGUGGGGGAUAACUAGUCGAAAGAUUAGCUAAUACCGCAUACGACCUGAGGGUGAAAGUGGGGGACCGCAAGGCCUCAUGCUAUAGGAGCGGCCGAUGUCUGAUUAGCUAGUUGGUGGGGUAAAGGCCUACCAAGGCGACGAUCAGUAGCUGGUCUGAGAGGACGAGCAGCCACACUGGGACUGAGACACGGCCCAGACUCCUACGGGAGGCAGCAGUGGGGAAUUUUGGACAAUGGGCGAAAGCCUGAUCCAGCAAUGCCGCGUGUGUGAAGAAGGCCUUCGGGUUGUAAAGCACUUUUGUCCGGAAAGAAAUGGCUCUGGCUAAUACCUGGGGUCGAUGACGGUACCGGAAGAAUAAGGACCGGCUAACUACGUGCCAGCCGCCGCGGUAA